GUGCUCGCUUCGGCAGCACAUAUACUAAAAUUGGAACGAUACAGAUAAGAUUAGCAUGGGGCCCUGCAUAAGGAAAACAACACAGAGCUUUUAACUAAUUUC